UACGGGGGGAGCAAGCGUUGUUCGGAUUUACUGGGCGUAAAGGGCGCGUAGGCGGCCAGUGCAAGUCAGUUGUGAAAUCUCCGAGCUUAACUCGGAAAGGUCAACUGAUACUGCUCGGCUAGAGUGCAGAAGGGGCAAUCGGAAUUCUUGGUGUAGCGGUGAAAUGCGUAGAUAUCAAGAGGAACACCUGAGGUGAAGACGGGUUGCUGGGCUGACACUGACGCUGAGGCGCGAAAGCCAGGGGAGCAAACGGG
rnacentral:rRNA from 1 species